rnacentral:rRNA from 1 species
AACGAACGCUGGCGGCAUGCCUAACACAUGCAAGUCGAACGAGACCUUCGGGUCUAGUGGCGCACGGGUGCGUAACGCGUGGGAACCUGCCCUUAGGUUCGGAAUAACUCCCCGAAAGGGGUGCUAAUACCGGAUAAUGUCUUCGGACCAAAGAUUUAUCGCCUUUGGAUGGGCCCGCGUUGGAUUAGCUAGUUGGUAGGGUAAAAGCCUACCAAGGCGACGAUCCAUAGCUGGUUUGAGAGGAUGAUCAGCCACACUGGGACUGAGACACGGCCCAGACUCCUGCGGGAAGCAGCAGUGGGGAAUAUUGGACAAUGGGCGAAAGCCUGAUCCAGCAAUGCCGCGUGAGUGAUGAAGGCCUUAGGGUUGUAAAGCUCUUUUACCCGGGAUGAUAAUGACAGUACCGGGAGAAUAAGCUCCGGCUAACUCCGUG